rnacentral:rRNA from 1 species
CACGUAGGGUGCGAGCGUUGUCCGGAAUUAUUGGGCGUAAAGAGCUCGUAGGCGGUGUGUCGCGUCGGCCGUGAAAACCUGCAGCUUAACUGUGGGCUUGCGGUCGAUACGGGCAUCACUGGAGUUCGGCAGGGGAGACUGGAAUUCCUGGUGUAGCGGUGAAAUGCGCAGAUAUCAGGAGGAACACCGGUGGCGAAGGCGGGUCUCUGGGCCGAUACUGACGCUGAUGAGCGAAAGCCAGGGGAGCAAACGGG